rnacentral:rRNA from 1 species
AUGAGCAUGUUCAAAAAAAUCAAAAAUCAAUUGUCGACAAGGUUUUAUAGCAAGAACAAGGAAAGUGAAGAGUGGUGUGGAACAAUUUGUCCCAAGAUCACAAAGAUACUUGAUAAGAAUGCAGAAAUGGCUAAUAAUUGUCAGGCAUUGCCUUCUGGCAAAGGCAUCUUUACUGUCUUGGGACUCAGAGGCGAGUACAAGGUUGACAUAAACAAAUACACAUGUUCAUGCAAAGCUUGGCAGCUAACAGGCAUACCAUGUAGACAUGGCAUCUCUUGUCUCAGAGGUGAAAGAAUCAAACCAGAGAAUGUUGUCUCUCCAUGCUAUAGUAUUGCAGCAUUCAAGAAAGUAUAUGGUGAAGUUAUUAUGCCUUGCAGAGACCCAAGAGAGUGGGAAAAGGUGAAUGCUGCUCCAAUCUUGCCACCCCUAUACGAAAAGCAUGUUGGGAGGCCUAGCAAUAAAAGAAAGAAGAACCCUGUAGAGACUGAUGAAGGAAAGUUGAGCAAGCAUGGUGCGGUUUCUCACUGCAGUAUUUGUAGGUCAGUUGAUCAUAAUAAAAGAACUUGCCCUGAAAAAGGUAGACAGGAGCAACAAGAUGAGGCAAGGCAAGGGGAGCAGCAAGAGGCAGGACAAGUGCAGCAAGGUGAGGCAGUUCAAGGACAAAACUCAAUUCCAAGGCAUAUUGCCAAAAAGGCAAAAUUACCAGUGAAGAGAAGGAUUAGUUCAACUGAUCAGACCACAUCUUCUGCAAGUGUGGUUGGAUCUAGUGUAAUACAAGUGUGGGAGCAGAACAUGUCUGUGUUCGACAUACUGAUGCAAUCCUCACAGCCGUCCCAAGAAUCCCAGGCACCAAGACCUCUUCCUGACAAUCAAUUUCUUGCAAGCCAAAUAGAGGAUCUACAAAUGACAAAACAGACCACAACUAUAAUCCAUGUAGCAGCAAAGAAGAAGAAAAGGAAGGAGAAGAUCACGGAGAAGGAGAAUGUUAUUCCUAGGAAGAAGAAAUAG